ACCGUGACAGCUCAGCCGGUAGAGCAUCUGCCCGGUAUGUGGAGGGUUGCUGGUUCGAUUCCCGCUCACGGCG
rnacentral:tRNA from 1 species